GACGAACGCUGGCGGCGUGCCUAAUACAUGCAAGUAGAACGCACAGUUUAUACCGUAGCUUGCUACACCAUAAACUGUGAGUUGCGAACGGGUGAGUAACGCGUAGGUAACCUGCCUGGUAGCGGGGGAUAACUAUUGGAAACGAUAGCUAAUACCGCAUAAUAUUAAUUAUUGCAUGAUAAUUGAUUGAAAGAUGCAAUUGCAUCACUACCAGAUGGACCUGCGUUGUAUUAGCUAGUAGGUGAGGUAACGGCUCACCUAGGCGACGAUACAUAGCCGACCUGAGAGGGUGAUCGGCCACACUGGGACUGAGACACGGCCCAGACUCCUACGGGAGGCAGCAGUAGGGAAUCUUCGGCAAUGGACGAAAGUCUGACCGAGCAACGCCGCGUGAGUGAAGAAGGUUUUCGGAUCGUAAAGCUCUGUUGUAAGAGAAGAACGGGUGUGAGAGUGGAAAGUUCACACUGUGACGGUAUCUUACCAGAAAGGGAUGGCUAACUACGUG
rnacentral:rRNA from 1 species